AUGGACGAAGACGAACCCAUGCCACCAGUCGACGGCGAUGAGUCCGACGACGACGCCGCGGAGCGCCUCCCGGACUUGACCUUGUACAAGAUCCUUACCCUCCUGCCGCCGUCCUCGGCCACGAGGUGCAAGGUCGUCUGCAAGAGAUGGCGCUCAAUGAUCUCCAGCCCCUCCUUCGUGCGUGACCAUGCCGCAGCCGUGCGCUCGAGGGACCCUUCCAUCCUCCUCUUCGACGGCGCCGCCCGCUUCCCGGGCAGGAUCGUCGACGAGAACAGGACAGCGAGGCUGGCGCUGCGCCGAUGGAGGGCAGAGCCCACGGAGGGCUACGGCGUGCAGAACUGCUGCGGCUCCCUCGCCUGCCUUCGGAACGGACUCGGCGGGGCCGAGCUAGUCAACCCGGCUACCGGCGACUGCUUCCGUCUUGGCGGUGACAGCGACGUCGUCCGCGACCGCGGCACGAGGACGGGAGCCGACCAGCUCCCCUGGUACUGCCUCGGACGCUGCCCGUCGACCGGCGAGUACAAGGUGAUACGCUUCGACAUCCGCGUGCCCUACUCCAGCGCCCCGCACGUCACGUGCGAGGUCUGCGCCCUCGGUGGCCGCGGCGGCCAGGGCCUCAGCCGCAUGUGGCGGGAGGUGGGAGUGUGGGAUGUGAACUUCUGCCCGAGCGAUGGCGGCGUGCACAUCGCCGGCGUGGUGUACUACGUUGCUAACUUCUUGGGGGCACCCUUUGUCGUCGGCUUCGACCUUUCGACUUACCAGCUGCGCCACAUCGACCUCCCCGCGGUCGACGACGCGGUGGCGUCGCUCUCCGAGCUCGAGGGGCGGCUCUGCGCGUCACUGGUGCCCGCUGGGCAGUGGUGCGGCGACGGCGGGGUGAACAUGGACCUGUGGGUGCUCCCCGACGGCGGCCAGGACCAGCACGAGUGGAUCCACAGGUACAGGUUUGAGCUGGACGGCAGCGCGAGGCACAUCCCGAGGCCGCUGUUCGUAAGCGGCGGCAGGAGGCUGAUCAUGAAGUGCGCCGACGGGUCGCUAUGCUCCUACGACGUUGCCGGCGGUAGUGACGAAGGUGCUUUCUUGGUAUUCCAGCACAAGAGCGGGCAGCGGAUGAGAGGCGCCACCGCCGACGUCUUCGUGGAGAGUUUGCUCCCCGUGCGCACCAUCCUGCAAUCCUAG
rnacentral:rRNA from 1 species